GUCACUUUACCCCUCGUGUUUGUGUUGAAUAAAGCUCUGUAUGACUCUGGACUCCACUUGAUGUAACAUGUAUUAUGCCGGAGACCUUAUUCGUUAAUUAAUACAUGGUUUAGCCUUGAUCUUUGGGUCAGGGCGCUUCAGUUUUUCUAUCACCGGAGACGCUGUCGGGCCCCGCGUGGUACCUUCUACGUGGCUGGAGGAUCUUGAGGAACGUUUUGCAGGUGUUGCCACCACGAUUGAUCCUGAAGAUUUCAAUGAGCACCCACAGUCGAAAGGCCCUUCCAAGUCAUGACUCCUACAGUUUCAGCCGGAUCUGUUGGCAGCCGAUGCUGAUGAGUACAGCGUGACUAGAUCACUCGAGUCAUACCUGCUGUAGUUGUUUGGGUACAUCAUGUGUAAUGCUGAUGUGUAAUGUAAUUUUUAGUUCUUAAUUCUUACAGUUAUA